ACGCUCGACACCUACGGGAGGCAGCAGUUGGGAAUAUUGGACAAUGGAGGAAACUCUGAUCCAGUGACGCCGCGUGAAGGAAGAAGGUCUUCGGAUUGUAAACUUAUUUUGUCAGGGAAGAAAAAAUGACUGUACCUGAAGAAAAGCACCGGCUAACUACGUGCCGGCAGCCGCGGUAAUCUGAGCGGGCUGGCAAGGC
rnacentral:rRNA from 1 species